CCUACGGGGAGCAGCAGUGGGGGAUAUUGCACAAUGGGGGAAACCCUGAUGCAGCGACGCCGCGUGAGUGAAGAAGUAUUUCGGUAUGUAAAGCUCUAUCAGCAGGGAAGAAAAUGACAGUACCUGACCAAGAAGCCCAGGCUAACUACGUGCCAGCAGCCGCGGUAAUACGGAGGGGGCAAGCGUUAUCCGGAUUUACUGGGUGUAAAGGGAGCGUAGACGGUGAUGUAAGUCUGGAGGGAAAGCCCGGGGCCCAACCCCGGGACCGCAUUGGAAACUGUGUGACUGGAGUACAGGAGGGGCAGGCGGAAUUCCUGGUGUAGCAGUGAAAUGCGUAGAUAUCAGGAGGAACACCGGCGGCGAAGGCGGCCUGCUGGACUGAAACUGACGUUGAGGCACGAAGGCGAGGGGAGCGAACAGGAUUAGAUACCCCAGUAGUC
rnacentral:rRNA from 1 species